GGCAAGAUGGCCGAAUGGUUAUGGCGUUGAGGUUAAGGUCAUCUCAGCAUCAAUUCCUCAUGGAGCAAUCCGCGUGGGUUCAAAUCCCACUCUUGUCA